rnacentral:rRNA from 1 species
GACGGUGGGUGCGAGCGUUAUUCGGAAUCAUUGGGCGUAAAGAGCGUGUAGGCGGCCGGUUAAGUCAGGUGUGAAAGCCCGGGGCUCAACCUCGGAAGUGCACUUGAAACUGGUCGGCUUGAGUUCGGGAGAGGGUAGCUGAAUUCCUGGUGUAGAGUUGAAAUUAGUAGAUAUCAGGAGGAACAUCGGUGGCGAAGGCGGCUACCUGGACCGAAACUGACGCUGAGACGCGAAAGCGUGGGGAGCAAACAGG